rnacentral:rRNA from 1 species
AUGCAUGUCUCAGCAUAAAUGAAUUCAUAGUGAAGCCGCGAAUAGCUCAUUACAACAGCCAUAGUUUACUGGAUAUAUCUACUACAUGGAUAACUGUGGUAAUUCUACAGCUAAUACACGCAUCAAAACCCUACCUUACGGUGGGGUGCGUUUGUUACUUCAAACCAAUCGGACUUCGGUCUGAACUUAAGUGAUACUGAACAAUUUAGCUGAUCGCACGGUCCAAGCACCGGCGACAUAUCCUUCAAAUGUCUGCCUUAUCAACUUUCGAUGGUAGAUUAUGCGCCUACCAUGGUUGUAACGGGUAACGGAGAAUCAGGGUUUGAUUCCGGAGAGGGAGCCUGAGAAACGGCUACCACAUCCAAGGAAGGCAGCAGGCACGCAAAUUACCCAUUCCCGGCACGGGGAGGUAGUGACGAAAAAUAACAAGCUGGUCUCAAUGAGUUCCGGCAUUGUAAUGGGAACAAUUUAAAUCAUUUAUCGAGGAUCUAUUGGAGGGCAAGUCUGGUGCCAGCAGCCGCGGUAAUUCCAGCUCCAAUAGCGUAUAUUAAAGUUGUUGCGGUUAAAAAGCUCGUAGUUGGAUCUAGGAUUAGGGCUACGGUCGUUCAGCUGGACGCACUGUAUGCCCGACUCCUUUUCUCUAGUAUUCGAUUGUUGCUCUUAAAUGAGUGACUUUAGUUGCUGGAACUUUUACCUUGAAAAAAUUGAAGUGCUCAAAGCAGGUUUUGCCUGAACAUUGCUGCAUGGGAUAAUAGAAUAGGAUUUUGGUCCUAUUUCUGUUGGUUUCGGGACACGAAAUAAUGAUUAAUAGGGACAGACGGGGGCAUUCGUAUUGCUGCGUUAGAGGUGAAAUUCUUGGAUCGCAGCAAGACGAACUACUGCGAAAGCAUUUGCCAAGAAUGUUUUCAUUAAUCAAGAACGAAAGUUAGAGGUUCGAAGGCGAUCAGAUACCGCCCUAGUUCUAACCGUAAACGAUGCUAACUUGCGAUCCGCAGGAGUUACUUCAACGGCUCUGCGGGAAGCACCCGGGAAACCGAAGUGUUCGAGUUCCGGGGGGAGUAUGAUUGCAAAGUUGAAACUUAAAGGAAUUGACGGAAGGGCACCACCAUGGAGUGGAGCUUGCGGCUUAAUUUGACUCAACGCGGGGAAACUCACUUGGUCAGGACACUGUUAGGAUGGACAGAUUGACAGCUCUUUCUAGAUUCGGUGGUUGGUGGUGCAUGGCCGUUCUUAGUUGGUGGAGUGAUUUGUCUGGUUAAUUCCGAUAACGAACGAGACUCUAUCUUACUAACUAGUCGCAGCUUUAUUCUGACUGCUGAGCUCUAGAAGGACAAGGGAUCUGUACACGUACA